CAUCAUGCGACAGCGUGCACCCCGGUGGGGAGCUGACGCAGGGGCCCCGUGAGGCAGGAGGUCCACGCGUCAGAAGUCCUGGCCCAGUGCAGGUGCACAGCUGGGGAAGCCUACAGUUCCACGAAGGACUUGCCCAAGCUCCCCGGGGGCACAAAGGGUAUUGGUCAUCGGGGGCGGACAGCGCCUGGGGACUUGUCACUCUGCUUCUCUUCUUCAUCUGUGAGAUGCGGGGGCGGUCACAGACCACCCCUUAGCCGGGGAAGCUGGGGAGGACAGUGUUGUAUCAAUCGGUGCUGUGCUGGGCCCUUGGUACGUCGUGAGUGCACAGUAUAUGGCAGUCACGUCCAUCAUCACGCUGGGCCAGAGGGAGAAGGGCAGGGCCUCUGGAAGCCUAGGUUCGCCUCCAUCGUCCCAGGGCCCUCCCACCCCUGGGGGAGGGCUGAUUUCUUUUCCAGGCAGAGGAACGGGGACUUUCUGGUUCUCAGCAUUCCAGUAGCCGGAGCCCCUGUCUGAGCUCUGGGACCACUGCCUGGGGUCAAGCCCUUUGAGGGCAUUUCGGUUCUUUUUGCAAACAUCUGCGGGAGGCAGGGGGCAGGGGGCAGAAGAGGGGAGAUGCCCUGGGGUAAGAGGGCUUCCUGGAGGAGGCUGCACAAGGGUGGGGGGUCCUGGAAGCUCCCACGAACUCCCGUGGGGUGGAUCCGGAGGAUUAGCAGCAAGGGCUGUCCCGGUUGGAAGUCGUGUGGCAGGGGGCUGAGCCACGUCUCCUGGCCUCCUUCAGGAAGAGUGGCCAGCUUGCAGGUUACCCGCACCCCCCCGCCUCCCGGGAUGGAUUCAGUUGCUCGGGGUCACCUUCCCUGGUCUUGUAAGAACUGUUUCUGCCUCCCAGCCGUGAAAGACACUUUCACAAAUGACUCAGUGGGAGGAUGCCAAGCGUGGGGACGAGAAACUCUUUUGUCGUCAUUCGGAGGAGCCGGUGCGGGUGGCUGGGGGCGUCUGCACAGGGCAGCCCGGGGCCACUCUUACGCAGAGGCUGCACCUUUCCUUUGGCUCCGGCUGCCCCGUCGGGGACGUCACAGGUCAGGGAGGCUCACAGACGACAGGGACAGCAUGGGCUGGGAGUCUGGCUUUUGCACGAGGACGUGACCCUCGGGUUCCGCCUUUUUAUAAGCGUGGUUCCCACCCCACGUGCUUCUCGCUCGCAGACUGGCUGGUUCUGGGGGCUGCACGGGGCCUUCUGCAGCCCCCCGCCCUGGACCCACUCGAAGCGGAAGUGGGAAGCCGUUGGCGGUGGGAACCUGCAAACAGAGUUUCCUAAACAUUUUAGUUUCAGUCGAGAAGACCUCCAGGAGCUUCUCAGAACAUUUCAAGGGUUUGCCACCAAGAUGGCCUUCUGGAAACUUGGGGUGGAAAGGUGGAGGGUAUCUGUCCGUGUUUCUCAAUCCAGAGGGAUCCGGGCAUGCGUGAGGAACGGAUUCUGUCGUUGAGGGGCGUUCCUUGUGCUCGGGCGACAGACACAGGGAGUCCGAGACGGGGCCGUGAGCGAGGAUCAUGAGGGCUUCAGAUUUAGAACGCGCCCCCUCCGCUGGCAAGCUGGGUUUUGGGGUGCAGACCUGCCCUCCAGGUGUUGCUUCCUGCCACAGAACAUCACGUUAAAGGAAACCGUGUGAUUAGAAGCCUGUGAUCCUGUCACCUGAGUACCGUGGCUGUUUUCCUUUUCUCGCGAGGCCUUCCAGGCUGCCCACGCCCCCUCGUGCAUAUAGUUUUGCCUCCUGGGGGGCGUGAACUACACGUGGAAUGUGGAUUUUGACUGCUGAUGAUGUGCAGGGUACUGGUUGUGAAAAUGGCCUGGAGAUGGUCACUGGAAACACGAGGGUAACGUGGAGACAGCGAAACGCUAAACCCUGCAGAAUGUCACCGCUGACAGUGGAGCCCAGAGGUCCCGGCUGGCGCAAACCCGGUGCAGGGCACCUUCCUGGCUGGAUCUGAGCAGCACCCGUGGAGGCUUCCGAGGCCGGGGUGACCAGUGGGAGGAUGCGAUUCAGGGGCUGGCAAAGGAGGCCCCGGGGCCACUUGUGGAUCUCCUCUUGGCCCCGGACUCCGCGAGGUCCAGCAUCCCAGGGGGUGAAUACUGAGGCCACAGCUGAGGGCUGUGCCUUUGGUCUGUAGUUGAGAGUCUGCCAGGACUUUUGGGGUGGUGAGGAAAUUCAGUCUCAGGGGGGCCCAGUCUCAGAGCAGUUUCCAACUAUGGGAUGGCUUUCUAUGCCCAGUUAUCCUUUUAGGAUACCUUCACUCAUGUCCCGGCUGUGUGAUCUUGGGAAAAUGACUCAGCCUCUCUGUGCUUUCGGUUUCCUCACCUGUAAAAAGAGAUGAUAAUAGCACUUGAUUUGGGGGAGGGGGGUUGUUGGGAGGAGGGCCUGACUGCCCAACAAAUACGAGCUGUGCUUGAACUUGAACUUGGAGCCAGGCAGGCAGGCAUGUGGGCAGUCUGGUGCCAGACGAGCAAUUCUUUCCUGGACGUUUGGAAUCAGAAGAAGAUGAUGAGGCCGGCUGGUGCUAAGAGGAGGUAGGAGGGGACGUAGGCGGGCGGGGAGCCCUCCUCGCACAGCCGGUGAGAGAUGGGCACGGGGCAUGCGGCUGCCCUGUCCAGGGAUCGAGGCCAGCACCGGGCCGGGUGGGAUUGGGGUCUGAGGCGGGGGCCUGGAUGUGUCGGAAUUACUCGGACCCUCAUGUCACAUCCAGGUUCCCCGGCCCUAGCACAUCGGAGUCUCCAGGACAAGGGACGGGUGUGGGAGGCGGAGGGCUGAGUCUGUACUUGACAUGGGCCCAAGGCAGGCUGAUGAGCAGCAGUUGGAGAAAGUCUGCACGGCCGGAAACAUCUCAAGACCUGAAGCCCUGGCCUCAGAUUCCUGGGACUUUCAGUCUGGGCAGCUGGUUGUCAUGCCGUGGACUUGAAUCUGAAGAAACGUUUGUGCUGUGCAAGAGUCCUGUGUUUCUCUGAUUUUGAGCAAAUGAAAGCCAGCCCAGCGCUGGGAGUCGGUGCCUUCCCCAAAGAGGGGGCUGGCCCCAGGGCGUGGGGGAGGGGGUGCCGGCCCAGGGCCUGCAAGCUGUCCCCUGGAGGCAUGGGGCGGAGCUGGCCAUUUCCCAGCUGUGGGCUCUCUCCCUGUGAAAUGGGGAGAGCAGCAUGACUUGGGGGGGGGCGGUGUCAGAUGAGAGGCUCUUCCCCACGGUGCCUGUGUGGGUCCAUCCAGACCGGACGGGAGGCUCAGGACUCCCUUCCUCUGGGUCAGGAGCAUCUUGUGUCCCAUGGCCCUCUGGGUCCUCCUGAAGUUUGGCCCCAGUGGGGGUCCUAUAGGUUCUGAGACCAGGAAGGAUGUCAUAGCAAGCAGCGCCCCCUUGGGCUCCAGCUCUGCCAGCGGCUUGGUAUCACUUGCCGACGGUGAAAUGCACAGAUUCCAAGCGUACAUUCUGAUUUCAAUUUGGCAGUUGUGUAUAUCUGCCCAACCACCACCCCCCGGUCCGGAUCCGGAAGGUUUCCAGCACCCGGGAGAUUCCCUGGUGCCCUUAUGCAGCGCCCCCCACCCCCCACAUGCCACAGGGGCAGCUCUGUCCUGACUUCUAUCACCACGGAUUAGUUUUGCCUGUUUGGGAACGUCCUAGAAAUGGAACCACACACCAUGUGGUCUUACUUCUACAUCGAGUAAAAGAGAAGAGGGGAGCAUGCCGUAUUCUUGGAAAGAGAAAACGGUCAUCCUGGGCUGGGGGAUGAGACCAAAUGGCGCCUCCUGGGUGUGGUUAGCUCCGCGGAUGCCCUGGGUCCACCAACAGAGGCCUGGAUUGCCGUCACUCCCAGCACUGGCCCUGUCCCCGUCCCCGUGCCUCCUGUCUGAUGUCUCCCUUGCUGGUGCAGCCUGAGUCCGGCUCCGGCCCGGCCCCAGAUCAGCCCCUGGUCCCGCCCUCCCCACCACCCUUACCCCAGCCUGUCCAGUGUCCCCUUGCUGGUACCACCUGAGUCCAGCUUCAGCCCGGCCCCAGAGCUCAGUCUGUUGAGUCAGGUUCUGGGUUUGCACGUCUGAGCCCUGGUGGAGCCCCUGGGCUGCCAGAGAAAGGCCUUCCCUGUCCCCGCCUCACCCGCCGGGCACCCCUCGGGCCCCCUCUGGCUUUGGUGAUGGCUGCACGCCCUCCGUCUUGCUUCUAAUGACCAUGUCCUAGUGCCUCAACCUUCCCUAACCGCAAGUGUCCCGCAGGCAGUGACCUGAUGGCCUGCAUGUGCCGGGCGGACGCCGGGGCCUCUGGCUUAUCAGCAGACAGAGGCCAGGAGGCUCUUUCUCACCCUUUGCCUCCUGUUCCAACUGAAAUGGACAGUUCGGUCCCUUCCAGCCCACCGUCUGAGCACCUGCCUAUCUGCCUUUGCCGGUGCUAUGCCUGUUGUCUCGAGCACCUGUUGUCUGGGGCUCCUCGCCUGACAGUCCCUCGGGUCUCCAUUCAGACAGCCCCAGACCCCCUGGGAGAAGUGCUGUGAUGUGCUCCCACACCCACUUCGAGGGAGGGAAGCUGGGAGGGAUCCUGGCUUCCCAGGGGGCCACCAUCAGCCCCUGGACGAACGCUGGGAUCGAUUAGGUAUCUUCAGGAGCAUCUACUGUGGCAAGAGCUGAGGUGUUUGGGUCCUGCUAGAGCCGGGCACUGAGGACUGCGCCAAGAAGGGCCUCCCUCUGUCCCCUCUGGGGGGACGUGGUGUGGCGGGGACUGGGGCGUCUGAGUCCGGCCUUGACCCUGCACGAUGUGGCUGUGACCUGACGGAACGCGGGCUCUCCGUGUCUCGUUGACCUGGGCGUAUCAAAUGGGGUCGUGUCUCCUGCAGGGCCUUACAAACUGUAAGGUGCGGUGCACGAACCAUGCGAACGGCUGGAGCCCAACCACCUUUGAGCGAAAGCAGCAGCCCUUUCUCAUGGGUCACCCCACCCCGUGCAUCCUGCCUGUGCUGCCAGGGCAGGGCGGGCCGUAGCAGUAAUAGUGCGCCUUGGGGGGUGCCAGGCACCCACACUUCUGAGUGAUCUACUCUUCUGUGCCCUACGGGAGCCGGGUGAGGGAGGGGCUGUGGGCAGCCUGCUUCAGAAGUUUGGGUGGUCACGCUUGGGAUCCUGUCUCUCUCUCUCUCUCUCUCUCUCUCUCAAAAGUAAAGAAACAUUAAAAAAAAAAUUAAAAGGAGUUUGGUCCAUCAGAGCUAGCUCACGGCCACAGAAGAAGGGACAGAGGCGGGAUUUGAGCCCAAGCACCUGCCACGUGCCGUGGCUCAGGAGCCGUGGCCGCAGCUCCAGAGGUGCGGCCGCCACCACCGCUGUCUGGGAGCCGCGGAAUAGGAUUUUAUAGGAGGAAGAAGGAUUGUUUCAGGUGCUUAUGGAGCCCCUGCUGUAUGCCUGGGCUCAGGAAGGCACUCUGUGUUUUUUUUAGAAGAGCUGAGCCGUGUGCCCAAAGAGUGGGACCCAGCCUUCUCCAUCGUGUGUCACCGACUGCUUCAUAGCCUCUGACCGCAGUCCUGUGUUUCCAGCGACCCACCGGGUAGCCCACCUUUAAUUUGCCCAACCAACCACACUUUGUUCUGUCUCUCUGCCCUCUGGCCUGGGACUCGAACCCUCGGGCCACGUCUCUGCUGCUGGCUCAAAGAGAGCAUGGCCCAAGGCAGGUCCCCGGGGAUGUGCUCAAUGCCCCUGGGGCUGUGGGCUGCUGGGGCUGCUGGGGCUGUGGCCUUGGGCUCAGAGGCUCCCUGACCUUGUCAUGGGACCUCUCAGCUUUGCUGGGAAGCCGUAUCCACUCCUGACUCUUACCUGUGUGUAGACAGAGGUCAAGUCGCUUACCCACGGUCGCUCAGUAAGGAAGUGUGGCUGAGGGUCCAAGCUGGGUGUGACCGUUGGGCUGUGGCAGCCUCUGAGGGGCAGGGGAAAGGCAAGCGGCAGAGGACCACGUGAGGGGCUGAAAACCCAGGGAUAAGAGAGGAAGGGGCUGGCUGCACAGAAGUCUUGAGGCUGGCACCGACCUUGCUGCUCUGGCCGCCCCAGGUUCCCGGGCAGAGGAGUGACUCCCCCAUUUUAGAGCUGUGCAGACUGAGGCACCUGCCCGGCCACUCUUAGGGGACUGCAACCUCCCAUAGGCUCCCGGGCGGCCACGCGGCCGACAGCUGCUGGGCCUCAGGUUUCCCUCGGAGCCAGUGCCUGGCCCGGCCACUUCCCCUGUGGUCACUCGGCACGGUCUCCUGGGCCAGGGCUCCCGGCUGUGGUCUCAGCGCUCGUCCAAGAGCUUACCCCAGGGGGCAGCGGAGAAACUUAAUCAAUUGCUAAAAAACAAAAAUAAGUCAGCUGCCUACCAGCUGUGAAGCUGUUUGCGGCCUUAGAGCCUGUGGCAUGGGUGGCAGCCCGUGCUGGGACCCGGUGCUGCCCGUGUGGUUCCAGGCCCGCUCCUGAGCCCACGCGAAGCCAGGGGUGGGGGGUGGGGGGCCAGCGAGGGGAGCUGGGGCUGAAGGGAGGUGGGCACGCCGCUUCCCGAGUCCGGCAUGAAACGAUGCGGGUGGAAAGAGCCGCCCUGGGGUGGUGCGAACCUCUGGGCAGGGAGGGGCCUGUCCUUUCUUGGAGAUGCGGGUUCUGUGGGGACAGUCCGUGAUGUCCACUCUGCCUGCUGGGAAGGCCAGGUGGGGGGCGCAGGGCUUGGGGGCCCUCCGCAUCCUGGGAUGUGUUGUUUUGCUCAUCGUGAAAAAUCCUUUCCCGUGUCGGGGUGCAGAGGGGAUUAACUGUGAGAACCCUCCAAGUCGCACUGGGCGACCUGCCAAUCUCCUCCUGCUGGGCUGUCAGGGGCUACAGGCCCUCUUGCCCCAUCCCUUCUCCUGUCCUUCCCUCCCACUCGGCUCAGAUCCUGGAGGGCCAAAUAAGUCACCCCCGCAUGGCGGUUUCAUUCCCCCCCGCCCCCAUCCCCCGAUUGUCCAGUGAGAAAACCUUGUCUCAGGGCCCAGGCCCCUCCCCAGGGCAACCACGAGGCCUCUAAG